rnacentral:rRNA from 1 species
UACGAGGGGGGCGAGCGUUGUUCGGAAUUAUUGGGCGUAAAGGGUGCGUAGGCGGUUCCGCAAGUCCUGUGUGAAAUCUUCGGGCUCAACUCGAAGUCUGCACGGGAAACUGCGGGGCUUGAGUGUGGGAGAGGUGAGUGGAAUUCCCGGUGUAGCGGUGAAAUGCGUAGAUAUCAGGAGGAACACCUGCGGUGUAGACGGCUUUCUGGACCAUUGCUGACGCUGAGACACGAAAGCGUGGGUAGCAAACAGG